GGAAAGCUGAUAAAAUUAGCUGUAAAAUAAUUAAAACAAAAGUAAAAAUGUUCCUUUGCUUUUUAGAGUCCACAUCCAGAAGGCUGGAGCCGUGUUUCACUGACAGGCUGUCAGACUAACGCCCUGAUGAGCUCAGCUGGGACAAACUGGUCUGAUGUUUAGGAACACAGAAUGUUCAGAUGUUGGAGCUUCACGACACCUACUGAGGAAGGAGACCCACCAGUAAAGAGAUGGUAGCUGGACCAGACCAAAAAUAUGGCGAUGACAUCAUGGAACUGGUCUUUGGAAAAGUUUUCCCUGAACCAACUCCGUUUCUAGAUGAGGUAGAGAAGAUCUGCAUCUCACCAACCCUCUGGUCUCAGUAUUCAGACAACGGAGGUCUCCCACUGUUAUCCAGGACCAGUUUGAAGCCCACAUACUGCCCCUCCCUCAUCAUCAGGAAACAUCAAUCCGUAUCCUGAGGACAACAGAAGACGGCAGGAGGACAGGAACUCUGAGACACCACCAGCACCGGGACACAAAGCACCUGUGUGCACAACGCCUGUUUAACUACUAAAACCUGUUUAUUAUAUUGUUCUACUUAUUUGCUGUGAGGUUAAUACAUAGAAAAUGUGUAUAUUAAUGUAAACAAUUAAAAAAAUCACUGAUUGUAUGUUUUCUUUUAGAUGUAAUGGUCCAAACUCAGCCUUGUAGACAUUUAUUGCAUCCUGUAGGUAAAUACACAGAACAGGCUCAGGUCCAGGAUGACCCAGCAUGCUCUUCUUCCAUUCUGGCUGUUAGGGAUUUUAUCAAUAACUCAAUGCCUACUGAUGUUUUGACCUAACGGCAUUUAU